AAAAACGAAUUCGGGUUGAGUUUCGGUCCAACCAGAAUUGGUUGGACCAGGUCUCGUUGAACCGAGACCUGGUCUCGUACGGGAAAUGCAGGUCUCGUUCGAGACCUGCUACGGAUUGAUAGGGGGACGGUUUUCUGCUCCUGAUUUCCAGCGAUCCUUUUGUUAUUUCAAAACGUUUUGAAAACCGAAAUUGUUCACUACUUAUCCAUCAAUCCUAGCCUCUCUUUUCCUCUCAAAAACAUUCCAGAAAUUCUGCACCAAAUUGUCGUGGGAAUUCAGUAAGUUUGUAGCUUUGAAACUCUGUUUUUAAACUGAAAACGACGUCUCCGUUCGUAAGUGAUAACUCUCUCGUUUUAGCUCCAAAUUUCAUUCCGUUUGAUUCCUGAGAUUGUAGACUCAGCCAUCUACAAGUCCGAGCUUAGUUUUCACACAACGCCGUUCGGAGGUCGAAAUCAAUUCCGUUUGUUUCCCGUGAAAGUAGACUCACGCAUCUACGUUUCUACACCUUUCGUUCGUCAAACGACCCGUCGACUGCUCGUGCUUCGGAGUCUACGCAGGGUUAGCUGUUUGCCAAGAUCACGUGGAUAAGCAAGCAGUUUAUGAUUUGAAAGCUGGUCCACUCCGAUUCUUUGAUUCCUCGGAGGUUUUUAUGUUAUUAAACUAGUUUCUAUUUUUCGAACUCUUAGACCGCAGUAGA